rnacentral:lncRNA from 1 species
GGACCGUCCCCUUGAUUUUUCUUUUUUCUUUCCUCUUCCUGAUCUCCCCCCCAAGGCCAAGCCCUCCUGGGGAGCACCUUCUAUGGUCAACUUCUUCUGCUAUUCAUUGGACUGCAGCACCGAGACCAUGUCUUCAUACUCCAAGGUCUUCUUGCUGUAAAGCAGUGUUGUUACCAAUGGAUCAUAGGAAGGGGGCAGC